rnacentral:ncRNA from 1 species
AAAUGAACAAUGAAAAGAUGAGUAGUUAAAAGAUUGACUUGUAGAGAGGUCCUGAGUUGGUGUAAAGGGCUACAAUUGCUUAACGAAGAUGGUCUUGGAGAGAAACGUUGUUGAGCCUAUUGCCAGGCAGCGUUGGGUACGCCCAUUAUUGCGUGAAGUAUCGCAAGCUUGCUUGCCGUACUUUUUAAGUCAUUUAGUGUGAACUAAAUGAAAAAUAAGGUGGUACCACGAGAUCAAUCGUCCUUGGA